rnacentral:rRNA from 1 species
CCUACGGGUGGCUGCAGUGGGGAAUAUUGCACAAUGGGGGAAACCCUGAUGCAGCAACGCCGCGUGAGUGAGGAAGUAUUUCGGUAUGUAAAGCUCUAUCAGCAGGGAAUAGAAAAGAAGGUACCUGAAAAAGAAGCCCCGGCUAACUACGUGCCAGCAGCCGCGGUAAUACGUAGGGGGCAAGCGUUAUCCGGAUUUAUUGGGUUUAAAGGGUGCGUAGGCGGAGCGUUAAGUCAGUGGUCAAAUUGAGGGGCUCAACCCCUUCCCGCCAUUGAAACUGGCGCUCUUGAGUGGAAGAGAAGUAUGCGGAAUGCGUGGUGUAGCGGUGAAAUGCAUAGAUAUCACGCAGAACCCCGAUUGCGAAGGCAGCAUGCCGGCUUCCGACUGACGCUGAAGCACGAAAGCGUGGGGAUCGAACAGGAUUAGAUACCCUUGUAGUC